GCUCUAUGAAACUCAAAAACUAGCUCCUUUCUUUAGCUGAUCCUAUUAAAGCUAUUGUGAUAUUGUUCCUGUUUGGUUCUGUCAGUCAUGAGAAUCAACACACAUCUUGAAUGGUUGGAGUUGGAAGUACCAAAAAAGUAUCUCACUGCAGCUUCUGGGGCUCUAAACGACAGCAUGAAGGAAAGGAAAGAAAAAACAACAAGUAAGCUUACAGUGACAAUAGAAGAAAUAUGAGUCAAACGCAAAUUGAUGAUAUGCAGAAAAAAGUAUUAACAGAAACUGUUUCAACUCCCUGAAGCAAAUGAAAUUAUUUCCAUGGCUUGUUUCUGCUUUGAGUAUUAGUCACACAUUUAUAGUAAUAAAUGAAGUUGUUUUCAUCCCAUCAUCAGCUCUUUCAAAGAAAAAUUCAAAAUCAGAAAUUGAAAUUGAAAGUAUCAUGGUAUAUAUCUGUCAGUAUCCACAGUUUUUCAGAAUGUUUAUUAUACUGGUGAAUACUUUUAUUUAUUGUUAGUUACAUCAUCUGGUACAUAAAUAUUGAAAUCCAAUUCA